AACUAUGAAUCUCAUAGCUUCGAAAAAGUCAACUCAGCGGGCGGUAUCAAAGAACAACUCUCAAUGAGUUGUUAUAACAAAGCAUUAGUAGAAUCCAAAAACACAAAAUACCAAAGACACGUUGGAGGUCCAAAGUUUUCUACUCGACUACUCCUAAAUGGUGAUACUUACACUGUAUCACAAAAGCAUGGGCUAAACUCUAGUCCAAGAAGAAAGUUCUCUACGGGGGCUGAAAAAUAUUUCCCCUCAUGGCAAAAGAAAAGGAAACGACGACUAGUGCACUUCACGAGACAUUAUUAAUCUUGACCAAAGAAAAUGCGGCAUCUUAUUGAGGCAACAGUGACAAAUUGCAGAGGUUACAACAACUGACUGCAGCGACAACGACAUUAAAGCACCCGCCAACAAGGCUGAUGAUUUGUUG
rnacentral:lncRNA from 1 species